CGGCGAUUUCCGAAUGGGGAAACCCAGUGUGAUUCGUCACACUAUCAUUAACUGAAUCCAUAGGUUAAUGAGGCGAACCGGGGGAACUGAAACAUCUAAGUACCCCGAGGAAAAGAAAUCAACCGAGAUUCCCCCAGUAGCGGCGAGCGAACGGGGAGGAGCCCAGAGCCUGAAUCAGCAUGUGUGUUAGUGGAAGCGUCUGGAAAGGCGCGCGAUACAGGGUGACAGCCCCGUACACAAAAGCGCAUGUGCUGUGAGCUCGAUGAGUAGGGCGGGACACGUGGUAUCCUGUCUGAAUAUGGGGGGACCAUCCUCCAAGGCUAAAUACUCCUGACUGACCGAUAGUGAACCAGUACCGUGAGGGAAAGGCGAAAAGAACCCCGGCGAGGGGAGUGAAAAAGAACCUGAAACCGUGUACGUACAAGCAGUGGGAGCCCCACCACUAAGCCAGUGGUGAACUCCACAUACGCAUCCUUUGCUGAGGAUACGGUUAACGGAGCGAAAGCGACGUUCAACCUCAAAAGAAGCAGAGGGGGCUUAGUGGUGGGGUGACUGCGUACCUUUUGUAUAAUGGGUCAGCGACUUAUAUUCUGUAGCAAGGUUAACCGUAUAGGGGAGCCGGAGGGAAACCGAGUCUUAAUUGGGCGUUAAGUUGCAGGGUAUAGACCCGAAACCCGGUGAUCUAGCCAUGGGCAGGUUGAAGGUUGGGUAACACUAACUGGAGGACCGAACCGACUAAUGUUGAAAAAUUAGCGGAUGACCUGUGGCUGGGGGUGAAAGGCCAAUCAAACCGGGAGAUAGCUGGUUCUCCCCGAAAGCUAUUUAGGUAGCGCCUCGUGAAUUCAUCUCCGGGGGUAGAGCACUGUUUCGGCUAGGGGGCCAUCCCGGCUUACCAACCCGAUGCAAACUGCGAAUACCGGAGAAUGUUAUCACGGGAGACACACGGCGGGUGCUAACGUCCGUCGUGAAGAGGGAAACAACCCAGACCGCCAGCUAAGGUCCCAAAGUCAUGGUUAAGUGGGAAACGAUGUGGGAAGGCCCAGACAGCCAGGAUGUUGGCUUAGAAGCAGCCAUCAUUUAAAGAAAGCGUAAUAGCUCACUGGUCGAGUCGGCCUGCGCGGAAGAUGUAACGGGGCUAAACCAUGCACCGAAGCUGCGGCAGCGACGCUGAUGCGUUGUUGGGUAGGGGAGCGUUCUGUAAGCCUGUGAAGGUGUGCUGUGAGGCAUGCUGGAGGUAUCAGAAGUGCGAAUGCUGACAUAAGUAACGAUAAAGCGGGUGAAAAGCCCGCUCGCCGGAAGACCAAGGGUUCCUGUCCAACGUUAAUCGGGGCAGGGUGAGUCGACCCCUAAGGCGAGGCCGA
rnacentral:rRNA from 1 species